CGGAAGACAAAUAAAUCGUAUAGUUUUUGUUGUUUUUCAAAAUAAAUGACAAAGUUUUUGUUGAGUUGUCAUUUGAGUCAUGUCGUUAAGUAGGUUAACAGAAUUUUUUUACGGCGUUAAUGUCUCGUUUAUCUCCUAUGUUAGAACAAAACAACGUUCUUCAUUGCAGCUCGUUUUGUCUGUUGAAACAAAUUUAAACCCUAAAUCCCUAAAUCGAUUUCAUUAUCUGCGAUUUUGAGGUCAAUGUGGGUCUCUGAUUUUGAGAUAAUGAAAUCAAUUUGGGAAAUUAGGGUUUAUAUUUGUUUCAAAAGACAAAACAACGUCGUUUCGUCUCUGCAAUAAACGACGUUGUUUUGUUCUAACAAAGUAAAUAAACAAGACAUUAACGCCGUAAAAAAAUUUUUUAACUUAUUUAAUGAUAUCUCAAAUGGCAAGUCAACAAAAACUUGUCAUUUAUUUCGAAAGUCAACAAAAACUUGUCGAUUUAUUUGUCUUCUGU